CUAGGACUGAGUCCUCC
rnacentral:misc_RNA from 1 species